UUUCUAUCAUAUAUUUAUAUUUGUGACAUUUGCUAUAAUGUGAUAAUUCCUUGGGUUUUAAUAAGCAAGCUAAUAGUCUUUAAAAAAUUACCUGAUAUGUAUGACUUAAUUGUUGGCGCAAUUAAGCAGUAACUGUAAAAUUAGUGAGUAAAUACCAUUCAACCACAAGUAUAUAUGCUAAUAUGACAGACGGCAGAGAAUUAUACCCCGAAAAUGAGCUUUCCUCAACGUUCCCUUCUAGCUACCUGAAAAAGGAAGGUCUACUGAAUCUCUACUAGUAGACACCAUUGAUCUCCACUGAUUUACAAGAAUAAUAAUGUGAAACCAAUGAAAACAUGAUGGCAUGCAGCACAGAUGGAAGGUAGAACACAGUUACAGAUGGUGAUGUUGCCAUUUGAAAGUAAGAAGAAAACUGGUAUCUCUUGGGUUACCAAGAGUAAAAAUAUAGAAGAUGCUUAUAAACUGCCAUCCAUAGAGUUUCUUGAAAUCACAGUUUGGGAAUGGAGGAAAAGGCUGCUUGAGUGUUUGGAAAUGGAGACUAAGGAUGAGAUAGAGUGGGUGAAUUCUGGCAUUAAACAACUGAGAGGAAGGUGCUAAAGUGGAUGGCUCCCUUUAUGGAAGAAUGAUGGAUGGUAGAAACUCUAUUGGGGGAAGGAAAAGAAGGUGGGUAACUCCUUAUAAUCUCCCUGUCAACUUAACUGCUGACUAAAAAACUAACGUUAUUUGCUAGUAAGAAACACCUUAACUCUUAACUGCCUUUACUAGGAUGCCCCAAGCUAGGGAUUGCCUAGGAAAAUAGAACCCGGGAUUUAUCAGGUAUGGCUUCGGGGGGAUGGGAGGGUCAUGUCAUGAAAGCUAUGCCAUUCCCUCAAAUUGUUUAGUAUUUUAAAAGUUCUGAAUUUAUUAAUCUGAAUCAGAAUCUGUGAGCUGCCAUUGAUGAUCCAGAUAGGUCUUUGCAUUGUCUAAGCCUUUUCCUUGACUACAUCCUUGAAAUUAUUUAGUAAAGUUUGAUAGGUAAAAUCUCUGAUUCCCGAGAGUCUGAUUUGACAAUUGGGUCCUGUAAAUUAGCUCAAUGACCUAAGUGGAUAGAGGUUUUACGCGUUACUAAAGCUACUAGCUAAGCCUGGCCUUUAAGGGAGAUCAGUGAGGGUCUCUCUAAGUGUCUUGCAUAAGCAUCAAAAUAUAUUUAAUUUGUGUCACACAAGAGCCUGGGUGAUUAAUAUGUGUGGCUUCUGCAUCUACCAUUUGAAUAAUGUUAGAAAUAAUUUGUUGAAAUGGGAAUUUUAUGGCCUCAUUGUUAAACGAGUCCUAAAGAUUACCAACAAAAUCAUCAUGGCAAGUAUGACCACAUUCCAGCAGGAUAUGCCUCAUCAUCAGUGCAAGCCUUGAAAAAGAGGUGAAGAAAACAGAUAUGGAAACUUUGACCUUUCACUGAUUUCUAGAGUACAACAGUUGGAGUUGAAAGGGCCAAGGAUAUCGAGAAUUAAUUCUUUCUUUGAAGAAUAUGAAUCUUUGAUUUGCUAUAAUUCCUAUAAUAAAGGAAGAAUGUCCUUUUCACCUGAAGCCUAGUGGGAAUGGCUUCACAAAGGUCAGUCAGAUUUUGGGAAUCAAUGAAACAGAUACAUUCCUCCUUCUUAACUAAACUGCUUCUCAAUGCAUCCCCCUCUCACUCCAUCAAUAACGGGGAACAAGAAAUCUCAAACAGCCGGUAGUUGGGGAGAAGUCAGUCGAG
ensembl:lncRNA